AAUCCAUAGGUUAAUGAGGCGAACCGGGGGAACUGAAACAUCUAAGUACCCCGAGGAAAAGAAAUCAACCGAGAUUCCCCCAGUAGCGGCGAGCGAACGGGGAGGAGCCCAGAGCCUGAAUCAGCAUGUGUGUUAGUGGAAGCGUCUGGAAAGGCGCGCGAUACAGGGUGACAGCCCCGUACACAAAAGCGCAUGUGCUGUGAGCUCGAUGAGUAGGGCGGGACACGUGGUAUCCUGUCUGAAUAUGGGGGGACCAUCCUCCAAGGCUAAAUACUCCUGACUGACCGAUAGUGAACCAGUACCGUGAGGGAAAGGCGAAAAGAACCCCGGCGAGGGGAGUGAAAAAGAACCUGAAACCGUGUACGUACAAGCAGUGGGAGCACCCUUCGGGGUGUGACUGCGUACCUUUUGUAUAAUGGGUCAGCGACUUAUAUUCUGUAGCAAGGUUAACCGUAUAGGGGAGCCGGAGGGAAACCGAGUCUUAACCGGGCGUUAAGUUGCAGGGUAUAGACCCGAAACCCGGUGAUCUAGCCAUGGGCAGGUUGAAGGUUGGGUAACACUAACUGGAGGACCGAACCGACUAAUGUUGAAAAAUUAGCGGAUGACCUGUGGCUGGGGGUGAAAGGCCAAUCAAACCGGGAGAUAGCUGGUUCUCCCCGAAAGCUAUUUAGGUAGCGCCUCGUGAAUUCAUCUCCGGGGGUAGAGCACUGUUUCGGCUAGGGGGCCAUCCCGGCUUACCAACCCGAUGCAAACUGCGAAUACCGGAGAAUGUUAUCACGGGAGACACACGGCGGGUGCUAACGUCCGUCGUGAAGAGGGAAACAACCCAGACCGCCAGCUAAGGUCCCAAAGUCAUGGUUAAGUGGGAAACGAUGUGGGAAGGCCCAGACAGCCAGGAUGUUGGCUUAGAAGCAGCCAUCAUUUAAAGAAAGCGUAAUAGCUCACUGGUCGAGUCGGCCUGCGCGGAAGAUGUAACGGGGCUAAACCAUGCACCGAAGCUGCGGCAGCGAACGUAUCACCCAAGACAACUUUACGGAGUUGACGAUUGACGGAGCGAAGCGACGUCAAAGCGUUCAUUAAAGUCGAGUUGGCUUAGGGAUACGUUCGUUGGGUAGGGGAGCGUUCUGUAAGCCUGUGAAGGUGUGUCGUGAGGCAUGCUGGAGGUAUCAGAAGUGCGAAUGCUGACAUAAGUAACGAUAAAGCGGGUGAAAAGCCCGCUCGCCGGAAGACCAAGGGUUCCUGUCCAACGUUAAUCGGGGCAGGGUGAGUCGACCCCUAAGGCGAGGCCGAAAGGCGUAGUCGAUGGGAAACGGGUUAAUAUUCCCGUACUUGGUGUUACUGCGAAGGGGGGACGGAGAAGGCUAUGUUGGCCGGGCGACGGUUGUCCCGGUUUAAGCGUGUAGGUGUGUGUUCCAGGUAAAUCCGGUUCACUUUAACACUGAGGCGUGACGACGAGGCACUACGGUGCUGAAGCAACAAAUGCCCUGCUUCCAGGAAAAGCCUCUAAGCAUCAGGUAACAUCAAAUCGUACCCCAAACCGACACAGGUGGUCAGGUAGAGAAUACCAAGGCGCUUGAGAGAACUCGGGUGAAGGAACUAGGCAAAAUGGUGCCGUAACUUCGGGAGAAGGCACGCUGACACGUAGGUGAAGUGAUUUACUCAUGGAGCUGAAGUCAGUCGAAGAUACCAGCUGGCUGCAACUGUUUAUUAAAAACACAGCACUGUGCAAACACGAAAGUGGACGUAUACGGUGUGACGCCUGCCCGGUGCCGGAAGGUUAAUUGAUGGGGUCAGCGCAAGCGAAGCUCCUGAUCGAAGCCCCGGUAAACGGCGGCCGUAACUAUAACGGUCCUAAGGUAGCGAAAUUCCUUGUCGGGUAAGUUCCGACCUGCACGAAUGGCGUAAUGAUGGCCAGGCUGUCUCCACCCGAGACUCAGUGAAAUUGAACUCGCUGUGAAGAUGCAGUGUACCCGCGGCAAGACGGAAAGACCCCGUGAACCUUUACUAUAGCUUGACACUGAACAUUGAGCCUUGAUGUGUAGGAUAGGUGGGAGGCUUUGAAGUGUGGACGCCAGUCUGCAUGGAGCCGACCUUGAAAUACCACCCUUUAAUGUUUGAUGUUCUAACGUGGACCCGUAAUCCGGGUUGCGGACAGUGUCUGGUGGGUAGUUUGACUGGGGCGGUCUCCUCCUAAAGAGUAACGGAGGAGCACGAAGGUUGGCUAAUCCUGGUCGGACAUCAGGAGGUUAGUGCAAUGGCAUAAGCCAGCUUGACUGCGAGCGUGACGGCGCGAGCAGGUGCGAAAGCAGGUCAUAGUGAUCCGGUGGUUCUGAAUGGAAGGGCCAUCGCUCAACGGAUAAAAGGUACUCCGGGGAUAACAGGCUGAUACCGCCCAAGAGUUCAUAUCGACGGCGGUGUUUGGCACCUCGAUGUCGGCUCAUCACAUCCUGGGGCUGAAGUAGGUCCCAAGGGUAUGGCUGUUCGCCAUUUAAAGUGGUACGCGAGCUGGGUUUAGAACGUCGUGAGACAGUUCGGUCCCUAUCUGCCGUGGGCGCUGGAGAACUGAGGGGGGCUGCUCCUAGUACGAGAGGACCGGAGUGGACGCAUCACUGGUGUUCGGGUUGUCAUGCCAAUGGCACUGCCCGGUAGCUAAAUGCGGAAGAGAUAAGUGCUGAAAGCAUCUAAGCACGAAACUUGCCCCGAGAUGAGUUCUCCCUGAGACUUAGAGUCUCCUGAAGGAACGUUGAAGACGACGACGUUGAUAGGCCGGGUGUGUAAGCGCAGCGAUGCGUUGAGCUAACCGGUACUAAUGAACCGUGAGGCUUAACCUUACA
rnacentral:rRNA from 1 species